UUUUAUUGACCUUGUAUGCUGGCUCAAUUCACUUUUCGGUUCUAGUAGCUUGUUUGCAGUUUCUUUGGGAUUUUCUACAUAAAUGACUAGUCUGGUAAUCAACAGGGUUUGUUUUCCUUUCCUACGUGUGUGUGUGUGUGUGUCUGUGUGUCUGUGUGUGUGCGUGCACACCAUUUUAAAAGGAAGAUUAAAUACCUGAUAAGUUGAUACCGAUAUUUCCAAUUAAAAUUAAAGUCUACAGGGUUUUUACUUAACAUCUUCUAUCUCACAUUUGUAUCUCCUUUUUCCAUUGAGAAUUCUGGUUCUCAAGGACACAAGGGAUGAAGAAUUAGAAUACCCCAUAUUGCUUACCCAAUAAUCUCGAGAUAAUGACAAUAACACUGCCAGUAAUAUGAUUACUUAAAAGUUUGAAUAAUUUUUUCAUAUAUUCUCUCUCCAUUCUCUAGUAGUUGUGCUGAAUCAAAAUUGUUAAAGCAUAUAGUAUCCAUUACAAACAUUAUUCCUCAUUUAGUCUUAGUCUUGGGUCCACAAGAAAAUAAAUAUUUAAUGUUCAUAUUAGAGUUUAAUUUGUAUCUCUGCAGUCAAUUUGGUUGUCUGAAGCUCAUUGUCAUUCUCUAGCAAACUAGUUUUGCUACAGAUACUGUUCAUGUUCUGUUUUUAUGCAGUGAUUUGGAGUGACUCAAAAAUAAUGUACUAUUACCACCAUCUUCCCUAAAUCCAUAUGAUGAUGACUUUUUGAAAAGAUCAGGCCAGAUGUCUUGUGAAAUGUCCUACAAAUUCUAGAAAUCGCUACCCAUUAGCACACAGAGACAUCCUUUUUUUUUUUUUAAAGCAUUGCACAAUAUUCCGUUGUGUGGAUAUUCCAGUUAUACAAUCAGCCUUCUAUUGAUGGGCAUCUGUGUUGUCGCCAAUCCUUUGCCACUACAAUGUUGCAAUAAAUAACCUUGUGCAUGUGUUGUUUAUUUGUGGAAGUUUAUCUUCAGUGUAGAUUCCUAACAGUGGGAUUACUGAACCAAAAGUAAAUCUGUCCACCAUGUCUUUAGCUUUUUGCAAAAACCCUUUUAUACGGGUUGUACCAUUUUAUACUUCUACCAGCAAUGAAUGAAACUGACUGUUUCUCUGCAGUCUACUCAAUGAAGUUUUCAAUCUUUUGGUAUGGCAGGAUAAUUUUACCUCGUAUUUAUCUUAUAAGUGAGGGUCAGUAUCUUUUCUUAUGCUUAUGUGUCAUUUUCAUUUUUUUUUUCCUGUGAAACAUCUGCUUACUUUUUUGUUUGUUUGUUUUUUCUAUUGUGCUUGGUGAUUCUGAGAUGUUAGAGGCUUUCCUCAUUGCCUUAAGAUCAUCCACCCAUAUUUUCUUCUAAUGCUUGAAUGUUUCCAUUUUUUAUAUUCAUUCUUGGUCCCUGUUGAAAUGACCAAUUCCAGGGGCAGGAAAAGUAUCAAACAAUGCUGAAAUAUAUUGCCAGAAAGAAAGGAAGUACUAAAAAAACAAUAAGGACACAUCAAAGCACACAGAAACAAGAUGGAAACUGGCUCCUACUGGCCAAAUCUGGGACAAAUUGAACAAUAAAAUACGUGUUAGAUUAUAAUUCACAAAAUAGAAUUUGCCGGUGCAUGCUGAUAUAUGUGAGUGAAUCAAUAAAUAAGUAAAUGGGAGAAGGAUAAUCUCUUCCAUACAGUAGAAUUCUAACUAGUAAAUGUAGAAGAAAUCAUGGAAUUAGAAAACCACCAUUUGGCAACCAGGACAGUAAUAACUGUUUCAAGCAAGAAUUCUCAAUAGAUGCUAAAAGGAGUAAGUGAAAGUAAUAACAAACAGAUUAUUCACAGGGUUUCAAAAUGUCUCCCAAUAAGAAAUGACUCAGGUUGGGUUCUCUGGAAUCAGAUGCUAAGACAGAGUUUGGGGUGCAAUGUAUUUACUAGGGACCAGCAUAUGUGAAAGGAAGGGGGAAGAGGUAUAAUUGGGCUAAGGGAGCAAUCUCACUGCAAUAUAGUCCUGGCUUCAGCAACCGGCAGGGAGCUCUGAAGUGGGCAGUUCCACCCCAUCUCACUCAGGCAUUGUGUGCAAGCUGCACCAGGAAGGGUGUGACCUUGGGUGAUAUGAGUCAUGCAGAAAGUGCUGGAAGCUAUCUGCUGACUGCACUGACCAAAACUGAGCAACAAGUCCUUCCUCAAAAAGGAAUCCGUGUGAUGUGGUGGUCUAAUAGAAUAUUAAUUACAAAGAAAAACUGUACCUUUAUAGAAUGGAGAAACAUAGCACACACUACCUUGGGUGUUGAUCAACAUUAAUGGUCCCCAA
rnacentral:lncRNA from 1 species